AUGUUCCGUGUCAGAUGGGCCAAGAGCGUCCUAAAAGAAGACCGGUAUUUCACCACCAUGAUUAUACCCGAAGCCAAAUCCAAGACCGCAGGCGCAAACGUCACCGCGAAAAAUGAGCCAUGGGUACUGGCUUCUCAAGUGGACCAAUGCUUCUUCAUUACCGACCCGUCAAAGCCCAGUCGUGUUGUCGUGAGGAGAGGCAAAAGGAAGAUCAUCGGAAUGGAUGGAGUAGCCAAUGAGCAAGACUUCGACAAGUACGGCGACCCGAGAAUCGAACAUGACGACGAUGAUGAAGUAGCAGCAUACACCACAAGAAGAAGCAGUACCACCCUACCUAAAGGACGUCCGUUCCAUAGAAGAACUCCAUUUGCGAAAAAGAAGGGCAAGAAGAUUGUGAACAGAUAG
rnacentral:rRNA from 1 species